CAAAAGAAAGCUUCACAGUCAUCUUCACAGUCAUCUUCCUCUCCAUUCACACUCCAAACCUUUCUCCUCAGCGCCUUCAUCCACCGCAUUCUUCCAUCAUUAACACCUUUGAGACUUCCAUCACUCUCGUCGUCAAUCAUCGCUGUUCCCAUGCUGUCCCUUCCCUUCCCCUCUUUUACGAGGACAAACCCUAAUCCUCCUUCAGCGAUUUUUUCUUCCCUUCAAACCUAACACCGAUGGUUUUACAAGAAUCACAUUAUCAGUAUGGGCCACAACAAUGCUUAGUUUAUAUACAAAGGUUCAAGUAAAUAUUCUAGGAAGACAUCUAUAUAUUGAUACUGCACAAAGAUUUGAAAGCUCUAGCACAAUGGUCCUCUCCUGAAUGGAGUGCAAGUGACAGCACAAAAUCCUGAGAAAGGUGGAACAUUUGUGACUAAUAGAGAGCGAAUAUGUCAUAUAAAGAUAAGAGAGAUUCGCCAGAAAUAUGAUAUGGUGACCUACCUGUUGGAGUAUAUUGACUAUCCUGACCAAAUUUGUUGCAGCCACCCAACCCAUCAAUGCUUUGGCAUUUGUAUUUUUGCAAACUAUAAUCUCUCUCUUUACGUGAGAUGGUUAUUACAACCCUGGGUGAUCUGCAUAGGCUCUAUCCGGGGAUCAUAUUGCAAAAUAAGGUUUUGAGGAUUAAGGAUAAGUCUAUUGAUCAGACUCUAGCCUACUUUUGUGAGGUUUUGAAGUCUAUUGAGGGUGUUCUUCCAGAACCCAUGAAAUACACUGCCAGAACUAGAGAGAAUAGUCCAAGAUCUUCUGGUACGUCACCGCUUAGGACUCUCAGAAUUCAGUCUUUGGAAAAGCUGAAUCCAAUUAAUUUGAAGCACUUGUCUUUCCAUAUGUCACCACCCCACAAGGCAACUCAAAACAAGAAGAUUAAUGAGGAACUAGACAGAGAAAUGGAAGUGAAUCACAAAGAUGGAAAAGCUGAAAAGGAUGACACACCAGAGUCAUAGCUGAUAAUUUUAGUAUGGUUGAACAAUAUAUUGAGAAUUAUAGUUGAUUAUCCAUACACUUUGUUUAUGUUUUGAAUUAUAUUGACUUGCUUGAUUAUAGUACUUUUCUUAGUUUGAUAAUACG